rnacentral:rRNA from 1 species
UACAGAGGGUGCGAGCGUUAAUCGGAAUUACUGGGCGUAAAGCGUGCGUAGACGGUAAUGUAAGUCAGAUGUGAAAGCCCCGGGCUCAACCUGGGAACUGCAUUUGUGACUGCAUCGCUGGAGUGCGGCAGAGGGGGAUGGAAUUCCGCGUGUAGCAGUGAAAUGCGUAGAUAUGCGGAGGAACACCGAUGGCGAAGGCAAUCCCCUGGGCCUGCACUGACGCUGAGGAGCGAAAGCCAGGGGAGCAAACGGG